GGCUUGUUUAAGUUGCCUGUA
rnacentral:miRNA from 1 species